AUUGAUCGCUGGCUGCAGGCCUAACACAUGCAAGUCGAACGAGUGGCGGACGGGUGAGUAAUGUCUGGGAAACUGCCUGAUGGAGGGGGAUAACUACUGGAAACGGUAGCUAAUACCUCAUACCAUCAGCUGUGCCCAGAUGGGAUAAGCUAGUUGGUGGGGUAACGGCUCACCAAGGCGACGAUCCCUAGCUGGUCUGAGAGGAUGACCAGCGACACUUGAACUGAGACACGGGCCAGACUCCUAGGGGAGGCAGCAGUGGGGAAUAUGGCACAAUGGGCGCAGGCCUGAUACAGCCAUGCCUCGUGAAUGAAGAAGGCCUUCGGGUUGUAAAGUACUUUCAGCGGGGAGGCGUUACCCGCAGAAGAAGCACCGGCUAACUCCGUGCCAGCAGCCGCGGUAAUUC
rnacentral:rRNA from 1 species